rnacentral:rRNA from 1 species
GUGGGGAAUAUUGGACAAUGGGCGAAAGCCUGAUCCAGCAAUGCCGCGUGAGUGAUGAAGGCCUUAGGGUUGUAAAGCUCUUUUACCAGGGAUGAUAAUGACAGUACCUGGAGAAUAAGCUCCGGCUAACUCCGUGCCAGCAGCCGCGGUAAUACGGAGGGAGCUAGCGUUGUUCGGAAUUACUGGGCGUAAAGCGCACGUAGGCGGUUACUCAAGUCAGCGGUGAAAGCCCGGGGCUCAACCCCGGAACUGCCUUUGAAACUAGGUAACUGGAAUCUUGGAGAGGUCAGUGGAAUUCCGAGUGUAGAGGUGAAAUUCGUAGAUAUUCGGAAGAACACCAGUGGCGAAGGCGACUGACUGGACAAGUAUUGACGCUGAGGUGCGAAAGCGUGGGGAGCAAACAGGAUUAGAAACCCUUGUAGUCC